UACGUAGGGUGCAAGCGUUGUCCGGAAUUAUUGGGCGUAAAGAGCUCGUAGGCGGUUUGUCGCGUCUGGUGUGAAAAUCCAGGGCUUAACCCUGGACCUGCAUCGGGUACGGGCAGACUAGAGUGCGGUAGGGGAGAUCGGAAUUCCUGGUGUAGCGGUGAAAUGCGCAGAUAUCAGGAGGAACACCGGUGGCGAAGGCGGAUCUCUGGGACGGUACUGACGCUGAGACGCGAAAGCGUGGGGAGCGAACAGG
rnacentral:rRNA from 1 species